GUUUUAGUGAUAAUGAUUUUGUAUAAUUUUGUAGGAAUUUUGAUUUGAGAAUCGCAAAUUUAGUGAAAAGUAAUUUUCCGUGAGAAAUUUUCUUGUUAUAUUUUGUUUAACUUGAAAACCACGAAGGCGAAUUCGACAAAUUUGAUUACUUGGAUGAUUUUUUACUUUUUUGCUUGCAACACGGAUAUUUUUUGUGAAGUUCAUUUUGAAAACUUGAUUUUAUUGAUAUAAUUUUCAUUUAUAACUAACUCACUCAAGUCGAAUAAAUUAUAACAUCUUGGGUGUUGGUGCGCGAUUCUACGCGAAAUUUUAACCCGUUAACGAAAAGAAAGGUAAAUGUAGUGCACGUUCCAUAAUGCGGUUCGCCAAAAAGUAGUUGAUUGUUGGAUAAAUAACAAAAAAAAAUGAUUUUCCAUUCUUCAUAACAAAUAUUUCAAACUACAUAUUUUACGUUUCUACUUGGUACUGCUAGAUAAUUCAAUUCAUUUAAACAUACGUUGAAAUUUUCCAAUAUUUUAAAUCAAAUAAAUUUUUCUCCAUCCAUUAUUCCAAAAUUUAUCCUGAGAAAUUGAUAUUUUUCCCAAAAAUUGAAUGUAAUACAAUUUCAAUAUGAUAUACGAGGUAUAUCCACAAAGAAAGUUCCAAUCAUAUGAUAGAAUUGCUCCAAUACACCUCAAAUUCACUUUGAUUCGAAAUAGUAGUACAUGGAUCCUUCUGAUCAAUAUAAAUGAUAAUUAGAUAAGUAAGUAACUUGAAAAUGUGAUUUCCAUACAAAUGACUUUCCGAGUAAUCUGUUGAGAUUUUCCUGAUCUUUGAGAACAAAUCUGUUGGGUUAAUGAGAUGAUUGUGUGAUGAAUGUCUUUGGAAUUUGAUCAAAAAUGAGGCAGGCAACCGCCGCGAUAUGGAAAAGUGAUUCGUAAUUUUCGGUAUCGAUUUCGGUGUGUCGCGAAUCAGUUUUAAGUGAUGGACAUCAUGGAAAUGGAAAAUGGAUAUGGAGGCUUUCCUAUGUGGACAAAGUUAUGUGUUUGUGCGCGAUUCGACGCAAAAUUUUAACCCGUUAACGAAACGAAAAAUAUCGAUAAAGCGGUUUGCCAAAAGGAAGGUGAUUGUUGAAUAAAUAACAAAAAAACAUAUUUCUUCAAUUUUUGUAACAAAUAUAUAUUUCAAACUACAAAUAUAUGUGUUUCUAAAAUGGAAAUGCUGCUGCAUCAGGAAUAUAAAAAUAGAUGUAAAAUUCUAUUUUCUAUUAUCGUUUUUCUGUGUCACGUUUCUUUCCAAAACUUAACCUGUCUGAAAAAAAAAUUUUUAAGUAAUAAAUUUUUUACAAAUUAAAUUUACAAAUAUAAAAAAAAUUAUAGAUAUCUGGAGAAUAAUAUUCGUAUGAAUUUGUCUUUUUAUGUUUGGUAUUUUCAGUUAAGUAAAUUGAAAGUAUGUGGUGAUAAUUAUUGUAUCUUGUAUGCGUGUGCCGUUUUGCAAUCUUCAUAUCGAUGGCUACUUCAUUUGUUAUAAAUUUUCGUUUUUCUUUCCCAAACUGGACCUGAAAUUUAAAAAUAUAAAAUGUUGUAAACUUCGGAUAUGUGAAUUACUUUGAUAAUAAUUGAAUGAUAAAAUUAUUAUACACUAUUUUGUUCUAAUACGGAACUUAAUAAAAUUGAAUUUUUCGAAAUGAAAAUUACAUUUUUUUAAUAAUAAUUCGAUUUUCUGGACAUUUUAUUUUAUAAUCGACUGUGAACAAUUUAAUCAAACGUUAAUUGUUUCUAAGUUAUAUCAACCCUUAAAAAAAGAAAACUGCAUCUGUUUCUUUUUUAAUUCUGAAUGUUUUCUGCUCAAGUUAGUUGAAUGUAUAUGUGUAAUAAUAUAUUUUGCAAAAUAAAAGAUUUUCUCAAGGGUUUAUU